AGUUGCAUCUAUGAGCCCAGAAUGGGGCAUCCACACAACCAGCAAGAAGGAAAUAAGAUUAAUCCCUUUCUUCUUGCUGUUUGUGCAGGUGCCUCAUCCUGACAUCAACCAAAGUGACUG
rnacentral:precursor_RNA from 11 species